GACGAACGCUGGCGGCGUGCCUAAUACAUGCAAGUCGAGCGCAGGAAACUGACGGAACUCUUCGGAGGGAAGGCAGUGGAAUGAGCGGCGGACGGGUGAGUAACACGUAAGGAACCUGCCUCAAGGAUUGGGAUAACUCCGAGAAAUCGGAGCUAAUACCGGAUAGUUCAACGGACCGCAUGGUCCGUUGAUGAAAGGCGCUCCGGCGUCACCUUGAGAUGGCCUUGCGGUGCAUUAGCUAGUUGGUGGGGUAACGGCCCACCAAGGCGACGAGGGAUAGCCGCCCUGAGAGGGUGAUCGGCCACCCUGGGACUGAGACACGGCCCAGACUCCUACGGGAGGCAGCAGUAGGGAAUCUUCCACAAUGGACGAAAGUCUGAUGGAGCAACGCCGCGUGAGUGAUGAAGGUUUUCGGAUCGUAAAACUCUGUUGUAAGGGAAGAACACGUACGAGAGGGAAUGCUCGUACCUUGACGGUACCUUACGAGAAAGCCACGGCUAACUACGUGCCAGCAGCCGCGGUAA
rnacentral:rRNA from 1 species